CCUACGGGCGGCUGCAGUCGAGAAUCAUUCACAAUGGUGGAAACCCUGAUGGUGCGACGCCGCGUGGGGGAAUGAAGGUCUUCGGAUUGUAAACCCCUGUCAUGUGGGAGCAAAUUAAAAAGAUAGUACCACAAGAGGAAGAGACGGCUAACUCUGUGCCAGCAGCCGCGGUAAUACAGAGGUCUCAAGCGUUGUUCGGAAUCACUGGGCGGAAAGCGUGCGUAGGCUGUUUCGUAAGUCGUGUGUGAAAGGCGCGGGCUCAACCCGCGGACGGCACAUGAUACUGGGAGACUAGAGUAAUGGAGGGGGAAGCGGAAUGCUCGGUGUAGCAGUGAAAUGCGUAGAUAUCGAGAGGAACACUCGUGGCGAAGGCGGGUUCCUGGACAUUAACUGACGCUGAGGCACGAAGGCCAGGGGAGCGAAAGGGAUUAGAUACCCCUGUAGUC
rnacentral:rRNA from 1 species